rnacentral:rRNA from 1 species
UCGGGAAUUUUGGGCAAUGGGCGAAAGCCUGACCCAGCAACGCCGCGUGAAGGAUGAAGUAUUUCGGUAUGUAAACUUCGAAAGAAUAGGAAGAAUAAAUGACGGUACUAUUUAUAAGGUCCGGCUAACUACGUGCCAGCAGCCGCGGUAAUACGUAGGGACCAAGCGUUGUUCGGAUUUACUGGGCGUAAAGGGCGCGUAGGCGGCAAUUCAAGUCAUCUGUGAAAUCUCCGGGCUUAACUCGGAACGGUCAGAUGAUACUGCUUUGCUAGAGUGCAGAAGGGGCAAUCGGAAUUCUUGGUGUAGCGGUGAAAUGCGUAGAUAUCAAGAGGAACACCUGAGGUGAAGACGGGUUGCUGGGCUGACACUGACGCUGAGGCGCGAAAGCCAGGGGAGCAAAGGGGAUUAGAUACCCCCGUAGUCCCUGAGCGGGCUGGCAAGGCGCAU